rnacentral:rRNA from 1 species
AUGGAGGAGAACAGUUCUGUCAGUGAGCAUAUACUCAAAAUGUCUGGGUAUAAUAAUCACUUGAUUCAGAUGGGAGUUAAUCUUCCGGAUGAUUGCGUCAUUGACAGAAUUCUCCAAUCACUGCCACCAAGCUACAAGAGCUUCGUGAUGAACUAUAAUAUGCAAGGGAUGAACAAGACUAUUCCCGAGCUCUUCGCAAUGCUGAAAGCUGCGGAGGUAGAAAUCAAGAAGGAGCAUCAAGUGUUGAUGGUCAACAAGACCACUAGUUUCAAGAAAAAGGGCAAAGGGAAGAAGAAGGGGAACUUCAAGAAGAACAGCAAGCAAGUUGCUGCUCAGGAGGAGAAGCCCAAGUUUGGACCUAAGCCUGAAACUGAGUGCUUCUACUGCAAGCAGACUGGUCACUGGAAGCGGAACUGCCCCAAGUAUUUGGCGGAUAAGAAGGAUGGCAAGGUGAACAAAGGGACUACGGAUUAA